UACGGGGGGGGGCAAGCGUUGUUCGGAAUUACUGGGCGUAAAGGGCUCGUAGGCGGCCAACUAAGUCGGAUGUGAAAUCCCCAGGCUUAACCUGGGAACUGCAUCCGAUACUGGAUGGCUUGAAUCCGGGAGAGGGAUGCAGAAUUCCAGGUGUAGCGGUGAAAUGCGUAGAUAUCUGGAGGAAUACCGGUGGCGAAGGCGGCAUCCUGGACCGGCAUUGACGCUGAGGAGCGAAAGCCAGGGGAGCAAAGCGGG
rnacentral:rRNA from 1 species